AUAUAUAUUCUUGUACAUACCUUUUAAUAAACAUACUUUUUUAAGGCAUAUAUUAGAAAUGGAAUUUCUGAGUUUUAUGUGUUUCACUAAUAUUUGCUUUCUGUUUAUUUGUUCCUUUGUAUCUUAUCCCUCUGAGUUCUCCCACCCAACUCCCAUCCUCUCUCUGAAAGCAGCGUUGCUUCGUGGCUUUCAGGCACUUCCAUGCCAUUUAGCUCUGGAUCACUCAGGCUAGGAGAAGUGAGGCAGAGCCACCCAGCUCAUUCUUGCAAGCAGCCACUCAGCCUCUCAUAUUACUUCUGUUUAUUUUGUAUGGAGGAGGUUGUUUGCUGCUUUAGUUUUUUUAAGACUGGAGCAUUGUGGGUUGUGAUUAGUGUUGUAGAUGGUUUCCACAACACUAAUUUACUCUCCUAUCAAAAAUAUGGGAGAUAUUGUUGCUACAUAACCUGGACAACACCUACUACUGCAGUUUCUUAUAUUAAAUUUAAAUACAUUAUAUUUAUUCUGGUAAGUGUUAAGUCCUAUCUCUAUCCUUAACUGUGGCAAAAACAAAGCAAAAACCAAAGACAAUUUUUACUCUGUGGCUUCACUUUUAUUGGCAAUGAACAGAAUAGUGUAAUUCUAAAAUAUCUUCCUGUCUAUUUAAUGCAUUUCAUGUUUAGUUUAAGUAGUCUUUGCCUAAACCAAGAUAAUUCAAAUAUGCUCCUAUGUUUACUUCAAGAAAUCUUAUUAUUUUACAGUUAACAUUUAGAUCUAUAAUUUACCCAAGUUGCUUCUUGCAAAUAAUGUGAAUUAGGUAUAGAGAUUUUAUAUAUAUUAUAUAUAUUUCCAAUUUCCCCUAUAUCAGUUUUCAAAAGGUCUGUACAUUUCCUCUGAGAUGAAGUGCCAUCUCUGUCGUAAAUUUAAUUCCAUCUACAUGUGUCUAUCCUGGACUCUUAUGUUCCAUUUGUGUAUUUUUUUCUCCUUGCAGUGUCAUAUUGUUUUAAUUGCUAUAACUUCAUGUCUUGAAAUACAGAGUUGGGUUUAAAGAUAGGUGAAAAACAGGAUGGACUCACUGGAAGCAAGAAUGGAGAUAUCACAGUGAAUUUUGGAGGCCAGGGGAGAGCCUGCAACCCAUGGGUAUUUUUUCUUGCCUAAAGGCUUUCACAUUCCACCAAAGAAAUCACAUAUGGUAGUGUUGUUGGGAAACCCAUUCAAGAGACUUAUGGAAAAAUCUAUGGAAUCAUUCUAUUGCAAAUUAUUCAGUUGCCAGAAUUCCUUUCUAGAACAAAGUGGAAUAGAAAUGCAUAAACACGAGAGCUGGAGGAGAGGUCCUAAAGAUGUCAUCGCCAGGCUACCCAGUGCCCCCACAUCAGAAUUCCCUGGAAUGUCAGAUGAAAGGAAAACUUCAGCACCCAUCAGAUAAGUUUCUCAAAGAAGAAGUCAAUGAAGAGGUAUAAGAUGAAUGCUCUGGACUAAUUGGACAAAAUAAAAUAUAUGCAACAGCAUGCUUCUCCAGUGUCUUAAAAGAUAAGAAUCUGCCUGCCAACGCAGGAGACAGGGGUUCCA